ACCUGGAAGGCUAUUUGUACUGUAAGCUUGGUGUAAUUGUUAAAGCUUGGUCUGUUUUGUGUUAGGGCUAUAAAAUUUCAUCCUUUAUCUUUUCUUUUUUUAUCCACAAACUCAAGUAUUUCAAGUUCUAAGUGGAAGCAUAAACAUAUAUACGUACCUAGUAAUUGAUAUUUUCAAUGCAAUAAUAGCAUUAGGUUUGUCUUGCAGUGAAAGAGUCUAUUAAAGAAUUGAGGGAGAAGGCUGCAUUGAAAAUGUCAAAAAUUGCAAAAUCACAACUGGGGCUGACCCAGUUUCCCUACAAGAGGGCAGAGAAGGGGGAAGUUCCCCCUUGCCUUGCCUCCAACCUCUCCAGCCACCAGCAAAACUGGCGACCAAACAGCUACAAGAGCUGCUUAUGAGUGAUUUGUCAGUCGCCAGGAUACCAAGAAUAACACAACAGACAAACAUACCAUCACAAACAAACGCAGAAAAUUAUACAGAGACUCAAACAAUUGCAGUCACAGUAACUGCUCCAGCACUUGAACAUAUAACACAAGAGAGAGAACAAUAUAUACAAAACCUAAGCCUAGAGACACAGACAGACAGUGCAGUUCAACACAUCACUGACAUGCAACAAAACACAGCACACCAUGUAGACACUACAGAUGUACAGCCAGCAGAAAAUACAACUGUGAACCUAUUGCCAAGGUUCAGUGGAUCUGCCCAAGGCUAAAAGAAUCAGAGUCACUUGGGAUGCCAAUUCGAUGAAGGCAUUGGAAGACAGUCUUGGACCUCUUGAGGCCCUCACAAGCAUCCCAAGUAGCGAAGAUUUAAAAGCCAUUCGCCAGAGCAAACCUGCUUUAGAAAAAUUUGAUGUCAUUCAAAUAUACAAAAAAAUUGCAUAAAAUAAAAUCAAAGAAAAAAUGAAUAUCUAGUUUUGUCAUGAUUACCUUUGUUUGUUCGUUUAUCUUGUAGGGGACAAUGUGUAAAUGAGCAGUUAAAAAAAAACAACUAUGUUUGUGUUAUAUUAUAAGUUAUCAGUGUCCUACACUUUUGUGUGUGGAAUAAAUGCAUGCAUAGAAUGUGAUGCUCGUAUCUGUGACAAAAUCAAUCGUUAGUCAAAAGGAAACAAAGUAUAUAACAUCAAAGGCGAAAAAGGGAGAGGGAUGCGAAAGUGUAUUACUGGCACUAAAAAUUCUUGGUUUAAAAAAAUUCUU